rnacentral:rRNA from 1 species
GAUGAACGCUGGCGGCGCGCCUAACACAUGCAAGUCGAACGGCCGGACCCACCCCGGUGGGCGAGGCAGUGGCGAACGGCUGAGUAACACGUGGGCAACCUGCCCCCCUCCCCGGGACAGCCUCGGGAAACCGUGGGUGAUACCGGAUGUGCGCCCCCUCCGCAUGGGAGGGGCGGGAAAGCUCCGGCGGGGGGGGAUGGGCCCGCGGCCUGUUAGCUUGUUGGCGGGGCAACGGCCCACCAAGGCGACUAUGGGUAGCUGGGUUGAGAGACCGACCAGCCAGAUUGGGACUGAGACACGGCCCAGACUCCUACGGGAGGCAGCAGUGGGGAAUCUUGCGCAAUGGGCGGAAGCCUGACGCAGCGACGCCGCGUGCGGGAGGAAGGCCCUCGGGUCGUAAACCGCUUUCAGCAG